rnacentral:rRNA from 1 species
GGGCAAGAGCCGGAUGCAGCGACGCCGCGUGGGGGAUGACGGCCUUCGGGUUGUAAACCUCUUUCAUUAGGGACCAAGCUUAAGUGACGGUACCUGCAGAAGAAGCCACGGCCAACUACGUGCCAGCAGCCGCGGUAAUACGUAGGGUGCGAGCGUUGUCCGGAAUUACUGGGCGUAAAGAGCUCGUAGGUGGUUUGUCGCGUUGUACGUGAAAUCUCACAGCUUAACUGCGAGCGUGCGUUCGAUACGGGCAGACUGGAGUACUGCAGGGGAGACUGGAAUUCCU